CAGGUCUUGACAUCCCACUGACCGGUUUAGAGAUAAGCCUUUCCCUUCGGGGACAGUGGUGACAGGUGAUGCAUGGUUGUCGUCAGCUCGUGUCGUGAGAUGUUGGGUUAAGUCCCGCAACGAGCGCAACCCUUGAUCUUAGUUGCCAGCAUUCAGUUGGGCACUCUAAGGUGACUGCCGGUGACAAACCGGAGGAAGGUGGGGAUGACGUCAAAUCAUCAUGCCCCUUAUGACCUGGGCUACACACGUGCUACAAUGGACGAUACAAAGGGCUGCAAACCCGCGAGGGGGAGCCAAUCCCAUAAAAUCGUUCUCAGUUCGGAUUGUAGGCUGCAACUCGCCUACAUGAAGCCGGAAUCGCUAGUAAUCGUGGAUCAGCAUGCCACGGUGAAUACGUUCCC
rnacentral:rRNA from 1 species